ensembl:lncRNA
AGUACAGUAGUGUGUGGGGAACAGGCCACUGCCCUAUCCUCUCUGUCAGGUCCUACCACCACUGGUUGGCCCUUGGGAUGAACAAGGUCAUCAACAAAGAUGUUGAAGAAGACUGGAUACAACACUGACUCGUGGGGAACACCGCUGGUUACAUGCCACCAAUCAGACUCUGCACCACUGAUGACCACUCUCUGAGCAUUUCCAGUCAGCCAGUUCUCAGUCCACCUCACCAUCCACUCAUCUGCAUUUUCUAAGUUUUGUAAUGACGAUUUUGUGGGAGAUAGUGCCUAACACCUUGCAGAAGACAAAGUAUACAACAUCCACUGCUUUCCUCCCAUCUACCCAGUCCAUGAUGACAUCCUAGAAGACCAUGGCUAUUUCCAAAUGAAGAUAUGGAACUUUGCAUCUUCUGAUUUAAAGAUUGCUUUGCUAGCAAGGGUGACCAUGAUCCUCUACCUACUAAUUGCUGCUCCAUCUCUGAAUAUCAGAUUGUAACUAUUUUGUUGAAGUACGUUUUUUUCUCUUUUUAAAAACUAGAGUGUAUGGAGGACUUGAUAACUGUGCUGCUGUGUGGAUGACAUCUGAAUGUACUGAAGGUAACAGCCCAAUGCCUGGUGUGCUGGUGUACAUUCAGAAAGACCAUUCUCUGUCCGCCACUUAUUAAAUCUGCAUUUCUGCUACUGCUUGGCACAAGUCAGAAACAUAGGUUGUAUUUUCAGGCAUUGUGUUUUCCUGGGGAAGUGGAUACGCUUUUGGAAAGUGUACACCCUGCAGUCAUGCUAUGCAGUCUAAGUCCCAAAGGCUGUGCUUUGCUGAAUUGAGACAAUCAUCUCACCCUUGCAGACAGAAGUCUUUCUUCUCAUCAGUUACAUAAGGAAAAAAAAUCCUCUGCUGUUAGAAGUGUAUGAGUUCAGCAUCACACCUCUACUGCACUGCACUCUGCAGGCACUCAGGCUACUCCUGGGCUGCAGUGAGACCCACAGAAGCCUCCAAAAUCAGAGCAAGAUCACUCCUCAUCCACCUUCACUCUUGUAUAUGAUAAUAAUAAAAUUUUAUCUUCAGACUUUGUCUUGCUU